AGUACGUGAAACUGUGUGGCAGUAAACGGAGCCUUCCUCGAAGUUGCUGCGGGCGGAUCCAGCCUUGGUGCUGGCGCCAGUGUCUUGAAUUUGACCAGCAAUGGCUUAUUUAGGACUUCUUGGCGUCGCCAUCCUCGGUGCAUCUCCGCCCGCUAGCUACGGUAGGAACUGUUGGGCACAGACCUCAGGCCCUGGCAAGAGUUUUCGCUCCGGCGUUAGCUGCCCGGGUGUCCCGGCUCUGAGCCCGACAGGCUUGCGACCGACUCGUAUAGCGAGCAGCCAUGUUUGCUGCGGUCGGUCUUUCUCUACCGAGUAGGUUGGUGGAGGCUUCGACCCGUCUUGAAAACACGGAC
rnacentral:rRNA from 1 species